AGCGAACGCUGGCGGCAGGCCUAACACAUGCAAGUCGAACGAAGUCUUCGGACUUAGUGGCGGACGGGUGAGUAACACGUGGGAACGUGCCUUUAGGUUCGGAAUAACUCAGGGAAACUUGUGCUAAUACCGAAUGUGCCCUUCGGGGGAAAGAUUUAUCGCCUUUAGAGCGGCCCGCGUCUGAUUAGCUAGUUGGUGAGGUAAAGGCUCACCAAGGCGACGAUCAGUAGCUGGUCUGAGAGGAUGAUCAGCCACAUUGGGACUGGGACACGGCCCAAACUCCUACGGGAGGCAGCAGUGGGGAAUUUUGCGCAAUGGGCGAAAGCCUGACGCAGCCAUGCCGCGUGAAUGAUGAAGGUCUUAGGAUUGUAAAAUUCUUUCACCGGGGACUAUAAUGACGGUACCCGGAGAAGAAGCCCCGGCUAACUUCGUGCCAGCCGCCGCGGUAAAAC
rnacentral:rRNA from 1 species